AGCAGAUGGACGAGGCCUGAGGAUCUUUGAUGGAAAAGGGAGAGAGAGUUAUGCUGCCAUGUUUCCGAUCUCAAAAUCCUCAUAACAUUGGCUUGAAAAAUAUUAUUUUCAAUUGUUUAUGAUGAGUUAUGUGCACAGCUUUGACGAUUUGUCUACUCUUUAUCAUAAAAGUCUAAAACUAUGUUCUCUAAAACAUUUGUAAUCUCUUAGACUUUUAUGAAGCGUUGAAAACCCUCUUUAUCCUCA
rnacentral:lncRNA from 1 species